rnacentral:rRNA from 1 species
GAUGAACGCUAGCGGCAGGCCUAAUACAUGCAAGCCGAACGGCAAGUUUGAUAGCAAUAUUGGACCUAGAGUGGCGCAAGGGUGCGUAACACGUAUGCAACCUGCCCGCGACAGGAGGAUAGCUCCCCGAAAGGGGAAUUAACCCUCCAUAACACCAUGAGAAGGCAUCUGAUUAUGGUUAAACCGCAAGGGGUCGCGGAUGGGCAUGCGGUUGAUUAGCUAGUUGGCGGGGUAAAGGCCCACCAAGGCGGUGAUCAAUAGGGGGUCUGAGAGGAAGGUCCCCGGCACUGGGACUGGGAUACGGGCCAGACGCCUACGGGAGGCAGCAGUAGGGAAUAAUGGACAAUGGUUGCAAGACAGAUCCAGCCAUGCCGCGUGCAGGAAGAAGGCCUUCUGGGUCGUAAACUGCUGGUUCCUGUGGAUAAAAUACCCGUGCGCGGGGAAUUGAAGGUAACAGGUGAAUAAGCCACGGCUAACUACGUG